AUUGAACGCUGGCGGCAUGCCUUACACAUGCAAGUCGAACGGCAGCACGGGAGCAAUCCUGGUGGCGAGUGGCGAACGGGUGAGUAAUGUAUCGGAACGUACCUUUCAGUGGGGGAUAACGUAGCGAAAGUUACGCUAAUACCGCAUAUUCUGUGAGCAGGAAAGCAGGGGAUCGCAAGACCUUGCGCUGAUUGAGCGGCCGAUAUCAGAUUAGCUAGUUGGUGAGGUAAAGGCUCACCAAGGCGACGAUCUGUAGCGGGUCGUGAGAGGAUGAUCCGCCACACUGGAACUGAGACACGGUCCAGACUCCUACGGGAGGCAGCAGUGGGGAAUUUUGGACAAUGGGCGCAAGCCUGAUCCAGCCAUGCCGCGUGAGUGAAGAAGGCCUCGGUUGUAAG
rnacentral:rRNA from 1 species